CCAAUAGCGUAUAUUAAAGUUGUUGCAGUUAAAAAGCUCGUAGUUGAAUUUCGGGGUCAGUAGGUUGGUCAUGCCACUGGUAUGUACUGGCCUCACUGAUUCCUCCUUCCUGAUGAGCCGUAAUGCCAUUAAUUUGGUGUUGCGAGGAAUCUGGACUGUUACUUUGAAAAAAUUAGAGUGUUUAAAGCAGGCUAACGCUU
rnacentral:rRNA from 1 species